UGGGGAAUAUUGGACAAUGGGCGAAAGCCUGAUCCAGCCAUGCCGCGUGAGUGAUGAAGGCCCUAGGGUUGUAAAGCUCUUUUGUGCGGGAAGAUGAUGACGGUACCGCAAGAAUAAGCCCCGGCUAACUUCGUGCCAGCAGCCGCGGUGAUACGAAGGGGGCUAGCGUUGCUCGGAAUCACUGGGCGUAAAGGGUGCGUAGGCGGGUUUCUAAGUCAGAGGUGAAAGCCUGGAGCUCAACUCCAGAACUGCCUUUGAUACUGGAAGUCUUGAGUUCGGGAGAGGUGGGUGGAACUGCGAGUGUAGAUGUGAAAUUCGUAGAUAUUCGCAAGAACACCAGUGGCGAAGGCGGCUCACUGGCCCGAUACUGACGCUGAGGCACGAAAGCGUGGGGAGCA
rnacentral:rRNA from 1 species